UACGGGGGGGGGUAAGCGUUGUUCGGAAUUACUGGGCGUAAAGGGCUCGUAGGCGGCCAACUAAGUCGGACGUGAAAUCCCCUCGGCUUAACCGGGGAACUGCGUCCGAUACUGGUUGGCUUGAGUUUGGGAGAGGGAUGCGGAAUUCCAGGUGUAGCGGUGAAAUGCGUAGAUAUCUGGAGGAACACCGGUGGCGAAGGCGGCAUCCUGGACCAAUACUGACGCUGAGGAGCGAAAAGCCGGGGAGGGACCAAGAGGA
rnacentral:rRNA from 1 species